AAAGAGAGUGUUAUGAACAAAUAUGUGAAUGUUCAUUCUGUUAUGACCCAAGAAAUGCAUAUCAAGUCAAACAACUCAAUAGGCAAGAUACAAGAAAUGUAGUAUGAUUUAAACUCCUAGAUAGAAUUAGAUUAGGACUAUGAUUCAAGGGGUUGUUGGCCUAUAAAUAGGUCUCUCACUUCAUUUGUAAAUACAUAUUUGAAUAAGAUCUUUUUACUCCCUUUAAAUACUUUCU
rnacentral:lncRNA from 1 species